rnacentral:lncRNA from 1 species
CAUCUUCCCUGCCCUGGCUGCAGCACAAUUUUUUUUGCUAUGCUGCUUCUGGUUCAGCUGCACUGAGGAAGGGGAAGGGGACUGCAAUGAUCAACAUGUGAAAUAUGAAAACUUGCAUGAAGGGAAGCAGUGUUCAUUUUGAUCCUGAAAGCUGUACCAGACCAGGAAUAAUGGAACACAGGACCAUUUCUCAAGUGAAUAUUAAAUUGCCUCUUGAGGAUUGGAAAACUGAAAUCUGAUCUGGUAAGGCAUCUUGCUUCAGUUUCAUCAGCCUCCUCUCCCAGCCUUCAGAUGAGGUGUAUCACUGGCUGCCAGCACUUACUGCAGAUCCAGGUCUUCCGCUAGUUGUGGCCAUGAAUGACAAGAGAAUGUUCUAGAGCACACCACCCAGAGAGAAGAGGCCCAGGUGUGCACCAGACUCCCAGGCUCUUGCUUUGUCCCAAUGUGAUGUGUGGUCUUCACCCGGCACCCUGUCACCAAGUGGUCCCAGCCAGGAUACUUGGAGUCGAGAUCAAACCUGAGCUGGAAGCCUAACUAGGCCCUGUAGACUAGAGGCAAGUUUGUUCGAGUUUUCAUUUCUUUGUCUAUAGAGUUGAAUAAUUAUAGCAUUGAACUCAUUGGAUAGUUGCAUAGAUUAAAUGAGGUGUACAUAAAUCAUUUAGCUCAGUGUCCAGAAUGGAGUAAAAGUUCAAUAAAUAAAUAUAUGUGAUUAUUAUAUCUAGCUGAACCUGAAUCUUCUAAAUUCUUGACCUAGAAGACUUCAUGGUCCAGUAACUUAAGUUGACAAGAAAUUAAAUAUUUAUAUUUAUUUUACAUUUAACUAAAUAUACUCUAGAUAUAAUAAAUCUAAAUAAAUAAAUAAAC